rnacentral:rRNA from 1 species
AGGACGAACGCUGGCGGCAUGCUUUACACAUGCAAGUCGAACGGCAGCACGGGGGGCAACCCUGGCGGCGAGCGGCGGACGGGUGAGUAAGGCAUCGGAAUCUGCCCUGAUGUGGGGGAUAACGUAGGGAAACUUACGCUAAUACCGCAUACGACCGAGAGGUGAAAGCGGGGGACCGAAAGGCCUCGCGCAGCAGGAUGAGCCGAUGUCCGAUUAGCUGGUUGGUGGGGUAACGGCCCACCAAGGCGACGAUCGGUAGCUGGUCUGAGAGGAUGAUCAGCCACACUGGGACUGAGACACGGCCCAGACUCCUACGGGAGGCAGC